rnacentral:rRNA from 1 species
GACGAACGCUGGCGGCGUGCCUAAUACAUGCAAGUCGAGCGGGGGGAGUUCUUAGGUGCGCCACUAGCGGCGGCAGCGUGCGUAACACUUAGGCAACCUGCAUCGAGGUGGGGGAGAAGAGGAAGAAAGUCCUGCUAAUACCACAUCACCAUAAGCUGUCUCAAGACAAGAUCGGCAAAUGAACAAUCCGACUCAAGCUGGGCCCGCUGCGCCUUAGCUAGUUGGUCGGGUAACGGCCUAUGAAGGCGACCAAGGGUAGCCGACCUGAGAGGGUGGGCGGGCACAUCGGAACGGGGACACGGUCCAGACUCCUACGGGAGGGAGGAGUGUGUGAUAGUGCAAAAUGGGCGAAAUGCAGAUGCAGCAAGGACGCGUGAGCGAUGUUGGCCUUCGGGUUGGAAAGCGCGGUCUUCGCGGACGAAAUCUGACGGUAAGCGAGGAGAAAGCCACGGCUAACUACGUG